AACGCGAAGAACCUUACCUGGGCUUGACAUGUGAGUGACCGGUGUGGAAACACACCUUCCCUUCGGGGCACUUUCACAGGUGGUGCAUGGCUGUCGUCAGCUCGUGUCGUGAGAUGUUGGGUUAAGUCCCGCAACGAGCGCAACCCCCGUCGCAUGUUGCCAGCAUUCAGUUGGGGACUCAUGCGAGACUGCCGGUGACAAACCGGAGGAAGGUGGGGAUGACGUCAAGUCCUCAUGCCCCUUAUGUCCAGGGCUACACACGUGCUACAUUGGCGCAUACAGAGGGCUGCGAUACCGCGAGGUGGAGCGAAUCCCUUAAAGUGCGUCUCGGUUCGGAUUGCAGGCUGAAAUUCGCCUGCAUGAAGGCGGAGUUGCUAGUAAUCGCGGAUCAGCAUUGCCGCGGUGAAUACGUUCCCGGGUCUGUACACACCG
rnacentral:rRNA from 1 species